rnacentral:lncRNA from 1 species
CUUCUUUUCCUCCACGAGAGCCUUCAAGCUUCUCAUUCUCAUCGUCGUCACCGUUUCUCACCGUAACCUCGUCGUCGUUUCUCACUGUAACCUCGUCGUCGUCGUCGUUUCUCACCGUAACCUUGUCACCGUUUCUAUGAUCUUCUCAUUCUCUAAUCGUCACCGUUUAUCACAAACCCUUCGCCAUUACGGUUUCUCAUCGUCGUCACCGUUUCUCACAAUCUCUUCACCGUCACCGUUUCUCAUCGUCGUCACCGUUUCUCAGAACCCUCUAAUCUUCUUUCACGAACCCUUCAAAGUUCAAACCCUUUCCCGUUUAGAANN